GAUGAACGCUGGCGGCGUGCCUAAUACAUGCAAGUCGAGCGAACGGACGAGAAGCUUGCUUCUCUGAUGUUAGCGGCGGACGGGUGAGUAACACGUGGAUAACCUACCUAUAAGACUGGGAUAACUUCGGGAAACCGGAGCUAAUACCGGAUAAUAUUUUGAACCGCAUGGUUCAAAAGUGAAAGACGGUCUUGCUGUCACUUAUAGAUGGAUCCGCGCUGCAUUAGCUAGUUGGUAAGGUAACGGCUUACCAAGGCAACGAUGCAUAGCCGACCUGAGAGGGUGAUCGGCCACACUGGAACUGAGACACGGCCCAGACUCCUACGGGAGGCAGCAGUAGGGAAUCUUCCGCAAUGGGCGAAAGCCUGACGGAGCAACGCCGCGUGAGUGAUGAAGGUCUUCGGAUCGUAAAACUCUGUUAUUAGGGAAGAACAUAUGUGUAAGAAACUGUGCACAUCUUGACGGUACCUAAUCAGAAAGCCACGGCUAACUACGUG
rnacentral:rRNA from 1 species